rnacentral:tRNA from 1 species
UGGGGUAUCGCCAAGCGGUAAGGCACCGGUUUUUGAUACCUGCAUUCCCUGGUUCGAAUCCAGGUACCCCAGCCA